rnacentral:lncRNA from 1 species
GUUUUAGAAAAUCAGCAUUCUUUUGGAGGGAGGUACAUCUAUAUAUACCCAAUAAAAGUACCACCGCUACACCCAAUGAUCAAUCUCUCUUCAGCCCGUAUUUGCUACAAACUCUUCCUGGUCAGCUUGUGGAGAUGGGUCUCCUCUAUUGUGAAGUCUAGGUUAUUGGCUGGGGGAAACCUUAUGAAGGGUUUGAUUCCUGAUUUUUAUUGGUGAGUUUUUUCAGGUGUUGGUGUUGGCUUGGCUGCAUUAUGGUAUUGGUGGAGGUUUGAUUGAUGGUCCUCUUAGUAGCGGUGGUGUUAGCGUAUUCCAUGUUAGUGCCUUUCCCAGUAGGUUUUAGAGUUGUUUAAAAGAGUUGGAUUGAUUUAUGGAUUUUUUAUUUGAUUUAACUUGAUUUUGAUUUGGGUUGUUCUACAACGGGCUCAGCUCAGUUGUUGAUCUUGCGCUUUCGUUUGAAUUUUCUGUUGUUCUUUACUGUCAGUUUAGGCAUAAAAUGCAAGUUUUUUUUUUGCAGGUAAAAGAAAAAAACACAUAAAUAAGAAUAAACUACUGGGAAUCCCGCAAGAGUUUGAUUUCCAA